AUCCUUUUGUAGUUCAUAAACAUGAUGAUUGCGUUUUCACACACAUGCAUAAGAUGUGCCUCCCAAAAUCUUGUUACGACGUCAGUACAUUACCCGUCUGACG